rnacentral:rRNA from 1 species
GAUGAACGCUGGCGGCGUGCCUAAUACAUGCAAGUCGAGCGAACAGACGAGGAGCUUGCUCCUCUGACGUUAGCGGCGGACGGGUGAGUAACACGUGGAUAACCUACCUAUAAGACUGGGAUAACUUCGGGAAACCGGAGCUAAUACCGGAUAAUAUAUUGAACCGCAUGGUUCAAUAGUGAAAGACGGUUUUGCUGUCACUUAUAGAUGGAUCCGCGCCGCAUUAGCUAGUUGGUAAGGUAACGGCUUACCAAGGCAACGAUGCGUAGCCGACCUGAGAGGGUGAUCGGCCACACUGGAACUGAGACACGGUCCAGAGUCCUACGGGAGGCAGCAGUAGGGAAGCUGCCGCAAUGGGCGAAAGCCUGACGGAGCAACGCCGCGUGAGUGAUGAAGGUCUUCGGAUCGUAAAACUCUGUUAUUAGGGAAGAACAAAUGUGUAAGUAACUAUGCACGUCUUGACGGUACCUAAUCAGAAAGCCACGGCUAACUACGUG